rnacentral:rRNA from 1 species
UCUGACACAGGUGCUGCAUGGCUGUCGUCAGCUCGUGUCGUGAGAUGUUGGUUAAGUCCCGUAACGAGCGCAACCCUUGUCCUUAGUUACCAGCACGUUAUGGUGGGCACUCUAAGGAGACUGCCGGUGGACAAACCGGAGGAAGGUGGGGGAUGACGUCAAGUCAUCAUGGCCCUUACGGCCUGGGCUACACACGUGCUACAAUGGUCGGUACAAAGGGUUGCCAAGCCGCGAGGUGGAGCUAAUCCCAUAAAACCGAUCGUAGUCCGGAUCGCAGUCUGCAACUCGACUGCGUGAAGUCGGAAUCGCUAGUAAUCGUGAAUCAGAAUGUCACGGUGAAUACGUUCCCGGGCCUU